UACGGAGGGGGCAAGCGUUGUUCGGAAUUACUGGGCGUAAAGGGCUCGUAGGUGGCCAACUAAGUCGGACGUGAAAUCCCUCGGCUUAACCGGGGAACUGCGUCCGAUACUGGUUGGCUUGAGUUUGGGAGAGGGAUGCGGAAUUCCAGGUGUAGCGGUGAAAUGCGUAGAUAUCUGGAGGAACACCGGUGGCGAAGGCAGCAUCCUGGACCAAUACUGACGCUGAGGAGCGAAAGCCAGGGGAGCAAACGGG
rnacentral:rRNA from 1 species